rnacentral:rRNA from 1 species
GACGAACGCUGGCGGCGUGCUUAACACAUGCAAGUCGAACGGUGAAGCGAGUGCUUGCACUCGUGGAUCAGUGGCGAACGGGUGAGUAACACGUGAGUAACCUGCCCAUCACUCUGGGAUAAGCACUGGAAACGGUGUCUAAUACUGGAUACGACCAACCCUUGCAUGGGGUGUUGGUGGAAAGAUUUAUCGGUGAUGGAUGGACUCGCGGCCUAUCAGCUUGUUGGCGGGGUAAUGGCCCACCAAGGCGACGACGGGUAGCCGGCCUGAGAGGGUGACCGGCCAUACUGGGACUGAGACACGGCCCAGACUCCUACGGGAGGCAGCAGUGGGGAAUAUUGCACAAUGGGCGAAAGCCUGAUGCAGCGACGCCGCGUGAGGGAUGACGGCCUUCGGGUUGUAAACCUCUUUCAGCAGGGAAGAAGCGAAAGUGACGGUACCUGCAGAAGAAGCACCGGCUAACUACGUG